GUCCGCGCAGUAAACGAUGGCGGCUGGCUGUCGGCGGUUUGACCCCGUCGGUGGCUGAGCUAACGCGCAAGCCGCCCGCCUGGGGAGUACGGCCGCAAGGCUAAAACUCAAAGGAAUUGACGGGGGCCCGCACAAGCAGCGGAGCGUGUGGUUUAAUUCGACGCGACGCGUAGCACCUUACCAGGGCUUGACAUGGACCUGCACGCCGGGGAAACCCGGUCGCCUUCGAGGGUGGUCCACAGAUGCUGCAUGGCUGUCGU
rnacentral:rRNA from 1 species